UGGAAGGUGGGUGGUGGAUGAAGCAUAAAGUAACUAACAUUGCAAUUGCAGUCCAAGUUUUCUAUUGCACACAGAUUUUUUCCAUCGAGGACCCUCCCUUAUCAUGUGCAUCUUAUUUAUCUCUAAUGUGCAUUAUGGUGACUAUAAUGACAAGUUGCAUCAGAUAGCCACUGGGAUGAAAGGCUGCAGUGUGUUUUCAGCUCUCAGUGUAUUUAUGCUAUCUUGAUUUUGGUAUUACAGGUCCAGUCUGAUCACCUGAGUACUGCCCUCAAACUAAUGUUGCUAUUAAUGUAUUUCAGGGUAAGGAUGGCAGAAUUGAAGCUCAGGACUAAAUCAGAACUUCCUUACUUCCUACCAGUGCGUGGACUGUAUGUGGCAGGGCUGCAUCAGAUCAUACACUGGAAGUUAUAGUGCAGAAUUUGUUGCAGCUCCCAUUAAAACAAUUCCUACCCCUUCAGCUUGCCAAGAACCCCUUCCGUAAACAAAUUGAACAUGAACCAGAGUGAUCCUGAAUCUAAGCAGUUUGAAACAAUAUCUUUGCAAGGGAUCAGAUGCUCUCAUUCAUCUUGGUGGGUGUUGACACAACCCAUAACAUCAUCUAAACUAUUAACACUGUCAUGGCUCUGACCGUAACUAUAUGCAACACAAAGCACAUGUGACUAUCCAUCCUUGAUGGAUAGCAUGGUGAAUAGAGUAAGGACUAGGAAGGAAGUGGACCAGGUUGUUGCAAGAGGCAACUCAGAAUUCAAAAAUAAUUAAGUGAUGCCUGGCUGUGAUAGGGAAGAAAGGAGAUUCCAAAGAUGGAAUGCAAGACCUAACCACCUCAAUACUAAAAAAUUCAAGCCUGCUUUCCAUGGCUUCUCAGGUUGCAGAAGCCCAGCUCAAAAUGCAGGGAGUUGGCAGAACUCAAAAAUUAUUCUGGAACUAAAUCAAUGUUGAACUUCCAUGUCAAAAUAACCUCGAGGAAGCCUCUACUGAUUGUUUCAUUCGUGAGCAUUCAAAGCUCUCUGCAGUGAAUAAGCAUGAGACACAGCAUCAGGGCUUUCCAUCCUUUUUUACAACAAUUUCCUUUGGACAAGCUUUGGGUUAGUGUUCAGUGACCUCACCCCAGCCCAAAAUUUUGACAUCUUGAUUGCUGAAGACAGUUGCAUGGGAAGGUGAGUCCAAAGAUGGUGAUGUUGGUACAGUAGUUAAGAUCUGAAGAAGAAGUUUAAGCAGAGACCUGCUACAGUUUUAAAAAAGAUUAAGCAGUGCUGUGGCGCACUACCAUUUUCACAGUAUGGGGCAAAAAGUUCUUCCACUUCCAGGAGUUAAUACGUUUGCUGUUUUUCCUUAAAAUACUGUCCCAAUUUUAAAAAAAGGCAAUACUGGAGGAAGUGGUAACUUCAUGUAAAAAGCCAAGCAAGCCAGGUGCUCCUAAAUGGAGCAACAUCAGACCAUGGGCUACAGGGUUACUCUUCUGGAUUUGCAGCAAAUCCCCUCUGAAGUUCACACAAGCCACAUGACUAAAAUGUAUGGUGUUGUGAUCCUAGGCUAAGCGUGGAAUUAACUUUCACAUCCUAAACCUGGAGCGUUUCCUCAGUUUUUAUAUUCAGAAAUAAAAUAAUUUAAUGGGCGGUGGAGUGUGCCCAUGACAACAGGAUAUUAGAGGGAACAUGUACUUGAUUAGUUAUUUUUAUUCCACAGAAACCCCUCAAAUCUAGACUUGGAGUUAACAGCAGAAAAAUAGUGUUAAAGUCAAAUAGGUUCAUAUUUUGCUGUAGACUAAAUAAAUUAGCCUAGAAUUAACUCAGUACGUUCUCUCUCUCUCUUGCAAUGGUGAUCCUUCUCUAAAUUCAAUGCAUUUUUAAAAAAGCAACAUCUAAUAAUUUAUUCCAGUUACUCCUUCUGGAUGAAUGCCUGCAAGUAUUAAAUGUAUGGGGAACAGAUUAUCUUCCUCUCCCCUUCCUCAAAAAGGAAACAGUCGAUAAAGGGUGUGGUAAAACAGACAUGCUACCGACAGUACUCCCUUGUAUCAUGCCUUGCCUAUCAAUGCCACUGGCUGCUUCUGUGUAAUGAAUGAAUAUUCAUAGCCAUGUCUUACAAAGAACAUGAUCCAAAAAAUAUAUAAAUAAAUAAAAACCUUAAACAUUCUUACAUGGAUUUUAAAGAACAGAAUACAUGUUAAAAACUUCAGUAAUUUAUAUCAAUUUUAAGCAAUACUUUAUAUACAAUGGAAAAAAGACAUGCAUAGUCCAAAUACAAUGUUGAAAACAGCAUUUUCAUAACAAAAAAACCCCAAACACUAAGUGUUAAUACCAUGUACAUGAAUUCAAGAAGGACCACCCUUUUUGUCUGUUGCACACAGUUUAUUUAACAAUAUGAUAUAUAAGUAAGAAAUGAGGUUUUUUUUGUUUUUUGUUUUUUACCAUUCUAUACAGUGAUUGAAUCUUCUUGGAUUUUCUUAUUUAUAGUAAUUAUAGAGCUUGCAUGAUUUACACUAGAAUUGCUUUCCUCAUUUCAAGUUUCACAUAGAAGAAAGAAUGAAAGAAAAGAAUGCUUCUUCUCUACUGAAAUCAGCACGGUCUAAGAGUGAUCAUCCCUAUUUUUUUCAUCUAAAACCAGUUUUAUCAGAGAAACAAAGCAACAAUUUCCACAUCUGCAAGACAAGGAUUUUUGGCAUUAGCCAAUGUGUGUGUGUGUGUGUGUGUGCGCGCAAGAGUCAAUUCCUAUUUUUUCCAGGGGUAAUA